rnacentral:lncRNA from 1 species
AUCCAAGCAAUCCAUUAACUCCUCUCAGACAUGCUGUAUUCCCUGUCUUAGUUAAUGGUUCUAUAAUCCACCAAGUGGCUUUAGUCAGAAAUCUGACUUUUUGACUCCUCAUUUCAUUCCCUCUUUAUCUGGUCCCAAGCCAAAAACUGAUUAAGUUCUGUCAAUUUUAGUUCCAAAACAUUGCUUGAUUCCAAUCCCCUUCUCUCCAGCAUUCCAUCCAGUCCCUAUUUUCCUCCACCAUGUUUUUGAUAUCGUUCAGUUAUUAUAAAGCCUCCUAAAUGGUUCCCCUGUCUAGACCAAUUGUCUUUAGAUUUAAUCUAGUCUCCACAGAGUGAUUUCCAAAUAAUUUGUUUUAAAUGCAAUUCUGAGUGGCUCACUCCUGUUUAAAACUCUUUAUUGCCUCCUCCUUACCUAAGAAACAAAAGAACAAGCUCCUCAGAUAAAAAAAAAAAAAAAAAAAAGCAAGCAAGGAAGCAAGAAAGAGUUCUUGCCUUUCCUUAUAAUAUCUGAGUUUGCAGAGCCCACUUCCCCCAACCCAUGCUGUUAUAUCACUAGGCCUUGUUCAUAUUGUUCCCUUUAUCUAAUGUACCCUUUCUUUGCCAGUUUAAUCAUUGGGAUACUGCUUCAGCAUUUUCUCCAAGAAGUUCAUUCACAAGGCUAGGCCAAGAGGGAGGCAGAGCAAGACAGCUGGAUAGAAGCCUCCACCAAUCACCCUGCUCACAGCAACACCAAAAUGAACAAUUAUCCAUAAAAAAAAAAGGAACUUAACAAGAACCAAAAGUCAGCACCUGAAAGCAGGGAGGAGACAGUACAGUGAGGAAAAGCAUCUGACAAGGCCAGCUGGGGCAGAGGAUGGGAAGGAUGGAGACACCUUGGUUUGGAAGGCUAGGAAGCAGGCAAAGACUGGCUGUCACUUCAAAUCACUAACCGGGCCCACUGAUUCCAUCUACAAUCCUAACCCACCUCCUCGGGACUCCCUAUGCCUUCCUACCAGUGAAAUGCGAAAUAGCAGCACCUACCACAGCCAAGAGAGCACUUAACACAACAGCAGUUUAUGGACACGAAGAAGAGAAGGGAGAAUAAAGAGGAAAAUGAUGUUGAUCUAAAAGUCUCACUCUGGUCCCUUUUAUAAUAGAUAUUUUACUUUGAAAUAAACA